AUAUUACUCUUGAUGUCAGUGUGUUCCAUUUCUGUUCUGUCUCGUGAAACUAUUGCAGAAUGCCUAUAUUUAUCUGCACAAGUUAGUGGUUACUUGGGCAUGGUUGCUCUCUCAUUUCAGAGUCUCCUUUUGAAGUGGUUCAAAGGUAGAGAGCACUUUAGGAGAAUGGUGUGUUUUAAAACCUGGCUGGCAUUUACAAUGUUCUGCUCUGUUCUUCUCUGCAUUAGCUAUAAGAUAGUGGGCAGUCUGGUACCCAUUUGUGUCAUUUUUAUGUGGCCAAACCUAACUUUGUGGUUUCAUCAUGACAGGCUUUAGUUUGCAGUAGAGAUCUUGUGGCUCAGGAGCCUGAAGAGUUUACUACUCAGCUCUGUGAAUCUUCUUUAAGAUGAUCUUUGAGAAUACCUUUCCAUGUCGUCCUUAAAGCAAGCUAUUGUCAUCCAUUGCUAGCAUUCAGAUUCUCAAGACAAGUAUGUCAUGAGAAAUGAACCUGCAAAGACUACCUGCUUUCUUACCACACUCAUUUCUCCUCACCACUUGUGCCUGCUGAAGCUU
rnacentral:lncRNA from 1 species